ensembl:lncRNA
AGAGAUUGUGACUGGAAAUUGGGGGAGGUCGGACUGGAAGUGGGGGGGGCAGACUGUAAGUGGGGGUGAAGACCAGAAGUUGGUGGGGUUAGACCGGAAGUUGGUGGUUCUGAGAGGAAAUUGGAAGGGGUCGGGGUGGAAGUGGGAGGUUCCGACUGGAAAUGGAAAAUUUGGAGCCAAAGUUGGACCGGAACUUGAGAGUUCUGAUUGGAAAUUGGGGGGGUCAGACUGGAAGUGGGGGGGUUCUGACUGGAAAUUGGGGGGCGUUGGACAGGAAGUAGAGGGCUCAGACCGGAACUUGUGGUUUCUGCCUGGAAACCGAGGGUUCAAACUGAAAGUGGGGGGGUUGGACCGGAAGUGGGAGGGUUGGACCGGAAGUGGGGCGCCUGGAUUGGAAUCUGGCAGUUCCGGCUGGAAGUUGGAGGUUCAGGCUGGAAAUCAGGGGGUUCUGACCGGAAAUCGGGGGAUUCUGACUGGGAACUGGGAGCUUCUGACCGGAAGUGGGGGGUUCUGACUGGAAGUGGGGGGGCCCUGAUUGGAAACUGGGGGUUCAGACUGGAAACUGGGGGCGGGGGGGGGCUGGACCGGACGUGAAGGAGUGUUCCGACCGGAAGUUGGUGUUCUGAACCGGAAGUGAGGGCUGGACCGGAAGUUUGGGUUCUGAACAGGAAGUGAGGGCUGGACCGGAAGUGAAUGCGUAUUCUGACCGGAAGUGGGGUCUGAACCGGAAGUUGGUCCCCGCUGACCGGAAGGAGCCUCCAUCACCGCACAGCGCCAUGGAGAGCGGAGAGCAGAGGGCUCCACAGGUGGAGGCGCUGCUGGGACAGAUCCAUGCUCUGCACCGGGGCUGCCAGGCUGGGGCGCAGGAGCUGGCACGGACACAGGAGAGGAGCGAGGAGAUGAGACAGCACCUGGAACAGCUGGAGGAGCGGCAGGCGGAGCUGCAGGCGCUGUGGCAGCAGCAGCAGGAGGUGCUGCGCGUGGCACGGUCACGCUGGCAGGAGGUGGAGGCUGAAGGACAAAGGCGCCGCCAGCUGUGCCUGGGGCAGCAGCGCCACCUGGAGGGGGCGGGGGAGAGCAGGGCAAAAAUCAGGGAGCUGCGGCGGGGACACAGGGAGGACUUCGUGCAGCAGCUGGAGACGCUGAUGGACGAGCACAAGCGGCUGCAGCGCCAGCACGUGAGAGCCCGCCCCACAUCUCACCCCACAGCGCCCCACAUUGCCCCGCAGCGCCUCAUGUGUCACCCCACAGCGUCCAACUUCACCCCACAUGUCACCCCAUGUUACCCCACAGCGCCCCACAGCGCCCCUCAUUGCCCCGCUGCACCCCACGUCACCCCACUGCGCCCGACGUGUCACCCCACGUCACCCCACAGUGCCCCACUGCGCCCCACAUCUCACCCCACUGCGCCCCACUACACCCCACAUCUCACCCCACUGUGCCCCACUGCGCCCCAUGUCACCCCACAGCGCCCCACAGUGCCCCACGUGUCACCUCAUGUCACCCCACAUUGCUCCACAGCGCCCCACAUUUCCCCACGUGUCACCCCACACCAACCCACAUUGCCCCACAGCGCCCCACGUGUCACUCCUUGUCACCCCUUGUCACCCCCCGUGUCCCCACAGUCCCCGGUGGCGCUGGUGGCCGCGCUGUCCCAGCUGCAGCUGACACGGGAUGAGCUGCUGAACCAGGGUGAGCACACAUGGCCCCAAAUGUCCCCAGACAGCCAUGCAAUGUCCCCAAAUGUCCCCAAAUAUUCAUAUAAUGUCUCCAAAUGUUCCCAGAUAUCCAUGCAAUGUCCCCAAAUGUCCCCAAAUGUCCCCAGAUAUCCAUGCAAUAUCCCCCCAAUGUCCCCAAAUA